rnacentral:rRNA from 1 species
GACAGAGGGUGCAAACGUUGCUCGGAAUCACUGGGCGUAAAGGGCGUGUAGGCGGGAAGGGAAGUCAGAUGUGAAAUCCCUGGGCUCAACCCAGGAACUGCAUUUGAAACUCCCUUUCUUGAGUGUCGGAGAGGAAAGUGGAAUUCCUGGUGUAGAGGUGAAAUUCGUAGAUAUCAGGAGGAACACCGGUGGCGAAGGCGGCUUUCUGGACGACAACUGACGCUGAGACGCGAAAGCGUGGGGAGCAAACAGG